GACGAACGCUGGCGGCGUGCUUAACACAUGCAGUCGAACCGAAAGGCCCUGCUUUUGUGGGGUGCUCGAGUGGCGAACGGGUGAGUAACACGUGAGUAACCUGCCCUUGACUUUGGGAUAACUUCAGGAAACUGGGGCUAAUACCGGAUAGGAGCUCCUGCUGCAUGGUGGGGGUUGGAAAGUUUCGGCGGUUGGGGAUGGACUCGCGGCUUAUCAGCUUGUUGGUGGGGUAGUGGCUUACCAAGGCUUUGACGGGUAGCCGGCCUGAGAGGGUGAACGGCCACAUUGGGACUGAGAUACGGCCCAGACUGCUACGGGAGGCAGCAGUGGGGAAUAUUGCACAAUGGGCGGAAGCCUGAUGCAGCAACGCCGCGUGCGGGAUGACGGCCUUCGGGUUGUAAACCGCUUUCGCCUGUGACGAAGCGGGAGUGACGGUAAUGGGUAAAGAAGCACCGGCUAACUACGUG
rnacentral:rRNA from 1 species